rnacentral:rRNA from 1 species
UACGUAGGGGGCGAGCGUUGUCCGAAUUUACUGGGCGUAAAGCGCGCGUAGGCGGAUUUUUAAGUCGGUGGUGAAAUUCCGGGGCUCAACCUCGGACCUGCCGCCGAAACUGGGAGUCUUGAGGUAUGGAGAGGGAAGUGGAAUUCCUGGUGUAGCGGUGAAAUGCGUAGAUAUCAGGAGGAACACCCGUGGCGAAGGCGGCUUCCUGGCCACAUCCUGACGCUGAGGUGCGAAAGCCAGGGGAG